rnacentral:lncRNA from 1 species
GACUCAGCAAGGCUCUUCCCCUCAACCUAGGAGAUUUAGAAACUCAUAAUGAAGGUUAAAAAAACAUGUAAAAACGAAAAUAAGGCUGAAUGGUGUAUGAUAUAUCUGAAAAUCAUGUAAAAUACACUUUAAAUACUAAACGGAUGACUAGUAAGGGCAAAACGGUCUACUUAGUGCUAAAAUCCACUUCUGGGGCCUACUUGGUGAGUGUUUGGGCUGAGCUUUGAUGAGAUCCAUCAUCCACAUGCUACGAGGCUCCCUGGUCAUGGAACGCCAGCUAGGGGGUCCUCUCUGGGCCUUUGGAUGCUGGGCUCUGCUUUUUGGGCGCUGGACACUUGGAAAGGGGCAGGAAGCUGGCGUUGGACGCCAGUUUUAGGCCUUCUAAUCCGAAGCAAAGUAUGGACUAUUAUAUAUUGCUGGAAAGCUCUGGAAGUCAGAUUUGCAUAGCCAUUGAGAGUGCUCCAUUUGGACUUCUUUAACUCUAGAAAAGCUCUUCCAAAUGCAGACAAGUCAGAUCUAGACAGCAUCUGCAGUGCUUUCUCUGUCUCUGAAUCAGACUUCUGCUCCAGCUUCUCAAUUUCAGCCAGAAAUUACCUGAAAUUGUCCAAAAAUACAAAAAAUCAUAGUAGAAUCCAAAAAUGUGAAUUUAACACUAAAACUAUAAAAACUCAAUAAAAACUAAAUAAAAACUACUAAAAACUAUAUGAAAGUGAUGCCAAAAAGCGUAUAAAAUAUCCGCUCAUCAUAGCUCCACUCCAAAGCUUUCCAAAACCAUCAAUCAAGCUCCAAUAUACAUAUAUCACAUCCAAAACAUAACAACUCAAUAACUAAACACAACACUUCAAGUAUUUUACUUAGAGUUGAGAAUCUUACCUUACCCAAAGAUCAAAGAGGCAAGACUAAGCUUUUCCUUCAAGUUAAUUAGAUCCUAUAACAUCAAAGAACCCAAAGUCUCAACACUUUUAUCCAAGAAUUUUGAAAUCAAGGACUGGGAAAACUGGAAGGAAAACAUCGCUUACCUCAAAAACAAAGUUGUGGGCUUUGUAGAGCUCGACGCCGCGGUCGCGUGGUCGCAAACGGUGCAGUGAUCGGAGCUCCAGAUCAAAAGUUAUAAUGGAUUGAACAAAGAGCAAGGGUUUGAACUCAAGGUUCUCUCCCCAAGUGUAUGUACAGCAUGUGUUUCACUUUGGAGAAGAAAAGGAAGCUGGCUUCUAUGUGUUUAAUGAACUUGGGUUGGGCCAAGGGCCCAAUACGGGCCCGGUUGGUCCGUUCAGUUCAAUAUUGGGCCAAAUUCUUUAAAAUUAGUGUUCAAAAUUCUUGUUUUAAUUUUUUCUAUCAUAUUAAACCAUAAAAUUCACAUUUUUAAUUUUCUAGAAUAAGUUUUAAUAUGUGGAUUAAUUUACUCAUUAAUUAACCGGGUUUUACAGACUCGACACAUCCAAUAGCUAACCCGGACCUUAUCUUUUUGUUGUGCAUCCCCAGAAGGAAUAUAAUCGAGGGAGUUUGCCAUACCAUCUUCUCCAAGAGGUAUCACCAGGAAAAAUAAAUUGAGGGAGAGUGCCUUACCACCUUAUCCUCUAAGGCUGUGCCAUAUAAAACGAAGAAGAGUACCUUUCCACCUUGCAAUUAGAGAGACUGUUAUGCAAAAAAAAAAAGGAAAGUCUCAACCUAACUCGUCCACACCACAGUUUGCGAAUUGAAGCGAAGGGAAUCCUCAACCUUCUAUCUAAUUCCCAAUGCAAUAAGAGAGGAAAUCCUCAAACUCACUUAUCUACCAUAACACUGAGCAAGCGGGACAAACCACCAUCUUUUCCAGGUGCAGAUAUCUCAUUAGUAAUGCAAGCGGGACAAAACCUCCAUCCUUGCCAAUUCAAUUGUCAUAUCUCAAUCACAAUCACAAUCACAAUCAAACAUAAACAUAGUCAUAACAAAGAUCAUAAUCAUAAUUCUCUAAAAUCACAAUUUUCACAAGGAUAAUUAUCCUCAAUCUUAAUUGACGCAGGAGCAAGUAGAGUUAGUAGGUUAAUUAUAUUAGUUAAUUGUAAUAAGGGAAUACAAGUCCCAUAUUGUUUAGGAUAGUGAAUUUUGUGUUAUGAAUUAGUCCCACAUCGUCCAAGUUAUGAAGACUUUUCCUUCUUCUACUAGUAUAAACAUGUACCUUUUAUUUAUGAAAUAGAAGUUGAAGUUGAUUUUUGAAUAUGAAAUAAGCUGUGUGCUUAUUUUCCUCUAGGCUCUUUGAGAGUAAGAGGUGCAUCCUUGGCUUGGCCGACCAAGGUGAAUUUAUGGCUAUUUUCACCAUAGUGGGGUUGCUAACCUCGCAGAUUGGUGAAUCUAAACUAUGUCACCGUAGUGGAUUGUUAACAUCGCCAAGAUUGGUGGUCCAAGCGACGUCCCGGCGUCAUUAAUCAAUUUCAUAAGUUACAUAUCAUCAUAAACCCCUCUAUCACGAGAACACUUAACAUUAUUGUCAAUCCGUGAGCAAGACAAAUCCACCCUUUUCACUAUGGUAGAACGAAACCACCAUCCCACAACGCUCUUAUUUAAUUUAACAAGUUUUAUAGGAAAAUUAUUUCAAUUAAACUUAUUAAAUCCAUCCCCGACAUAUUUCAAACCCUUAGAAUGGUUCUUAAACUCCAUACGCAGGUUAUUGGGGGUACAAACUUGCCAGAAAGGCUUAACAGCUCAAAAUCAGCAAUUUAGAAAGAAAUCAGCUUGGUGCGCAUGCACAGGCCUGGGCAUUGCCUCUGAUUAGUGCGCGCGCAACACUCUGUACGCACGCACACCAACAUAAGUUCUAGUAUUCUGCAGAAUUUCAACAUUGACGUCCGAACUUCAAAAAUCCAUAACUUUUCGUAAAAAAAUUGUUUUGCUUCCGUUCUUCAAAGACAAUAAAAUUGACAUCCCCAAUUUUAUUUCAAAAUAAGUUUUAUCAAUUUCUAAGUUUUGAGUGCCAAGUUAUGGCCCUCCAAAGUUGGGUCAAAAUUUGCCGUAGUGUAGAAUUUUUUUUUACCACUUAGGAAAUUCUCAAUUUUUUUAUCUAAUUGGCAUCCAUUAUAUACCAACCUAGCCAAAUCUAAGAUUAGGUCACUACUGAUUAAUUUCACUCUUGUUUCUACCUAGCUCCUCACUGUAUAGCUCAUCCAAAUCACAAUCUUAUCUCAUCCUUAAUCUUAUUCCUCAUAAAAUUUUUUUCAAACAAUCAACAAUAUUCACCCAAAAUUCAGUUUCACAUAUUCAUCAUAAAAACUCUAAUUUCAACAAUUAGACCACAACGCAUCAAUACAUCACAAGCGAUAGGAACUCAAUCAAUCAAGGCCUCGGCCAUUUUAUUCACCAUUUAAUAUCAUCCAAAACCACAUAUUCAUACUAAACCAUUAUCUUCAACAACAUCAAUUCAACAACAUCUUAAUGUCAACUAACCUAAGGUUUUACAUAGCAUUACAUAAUAAUCAUCCGAAACUGAAAUUCGUACCUUAGUUGACGAUGGUGCCAACCUCUUGAGCAUUUCUCUCUAGCCAAUCCAAGCCUCAAUCAAUCCCUCACCAAUCCAAGCUUCAAUUAACGCUAUUCAAUCU